CCCUUGUUUGAUCCUGGCUCAGAUUGAACGCUGGCGGCAUGCUUUACACAUGCAAGUCGAACGGCAGCGCGGGGGCAACCCUGGCGGCGAGUGGCGAACGGGUGAGUAAUACAUCGGAACGUACCUGGUAGUGGGGGAUAGCUCGGCGAAAGCCGGAUUAAUACCGCAUACGCACCACGGUGGAAAGCGGGGGAUCGCAAGACCUCGCGCUAUCGGAGCGGCCGAUGUCGGAUUAGCUUGUUGGUGGGGUAAAGGCCUACCAAGGCGACGAUCCGUAGCUGGUCUGAGAGGACGACCAGCCACACUGGGACUGAGACACGGCCCAAACUCCUACGGGAGGCAGCAGUGGGGAAUUUUGGACAAUGGGCGAAAGCCUGAUCCAGCAAUGCCGCGUGUGCGAAGAAGGCCUUCGGGUUGUAAAGCACUUUUGUCCGGAAAGAAAUCCGUCUGGCUAAUACCCGGAUGGGAUGACGGUACCGGAAGAAUAAGCACCGGCUAACUACGUGCCAGCAGCCGCGGUAAUACGUAGGGUGCGAGCGUUAAUCGGAAUUACUGGGCGUAAAGCGUGCGCAGGCGGCUAUGCAAGACAGGUGUGAAAUCCCCGGGCUUAACCUGGGAACUGCACUUGUGACUGCAUGGCUAGAGUGCGUCAGAGGGAGGUGGAAUUCCGCGUGUAGCAGUGAAAUGCGUAGAGAUGCGGAGGAACACCGAUGGCGAAGGCAGCCUCCUGGGAUGACACUGACGCUCAUGCACGAAAGCGUGGGGAGCAAACAGGAUUAGAUACCCUGGUAGUCCACGCCCUAAACGAUGUCGACUAGUUGUCGGGGAUUCAUUUCCUUGGUAACGCAGCUAACGCGUGAAGUCGACCGCCUGGGGAGUACGGCC
rnacentral:rRNA from 1 species